rnacentral:rRNA from 1 species
GUAUUGGACAAUGGGGGCAACCCCGAUCCAGCAAUGCCGCGUGAGUGAUGAAGGCCUUCGGGUUGUAAAGCUCUUUUGGCGGGGACGAUGAUGACGGUACCCGCAGAAUAAGCCCCGGCUAACUUCGUGCCAGCAGCCGCGGUAAUACGAAGGGGGCUAGCGUUGUUCGAAAUUACUGGGCGUAAAGGGCGCGUAGGCGGCCUUGUGAGUCGAGUGUGAAAGCCCUGGGCUUAACCCGGGAAGCGCGCUUGAUACUGCAGGGCUUGAGUGUGGGAGAGGAUGAUGGAAUUCCCAGUGUAGAGGUGAAAUUCGUAGAUAUUGGGAAGAACACCGGUGGCGAAGGCGAUCAUCUGGACCACAACUGACGCUGAGGCGCGAAAGCGUGGGGAGCAAACAG